UUUGGGAGGCCAAUGCGGGAGGAUCGCUUGAGGCCAGGAAUUGGAGACCAGUCUGGGCAAUAUAGUGAGACCUUGUCUAUACAAAAA
rnacentral:miRNA from 1 species